rnacentral:rRNA from 1 species
GAUGAACGCUGGCGGCGUGCCUAAUACAUGCAAGUCGAGCGAACGGACGAGAAGCUUGCUUCUCUGAUGUUAGCGGCGGACGGGUGAGUAACACGUGGAUAACCUACCUAUAAGACUGGGAUAACUUCGGGAAACCGGAGCUAAUACCGGAUAAUAUUUUGAACCGCAUGGUUCAAAAGUGGAAGACGGUCUUGCUGUCACUUAUACAUGGAUCCGCGCUGCAUUAGCUAGUUGGUAAGGUAACGGCUUACCAAGGCAACGAUGCAUAGCCGACCUGAGAGGGUGAUCGGCCACACUGGAACUGAGACACGGUCCAGACUCCUACGGGAGGCAGCAGUAGGGAAUCUUCCGCAAUGGGCGAAAGCCUGACGGAGCAACGCCGCGUGAGUGAUGAAGGUCUUCGGAUCGUAAAACUCUGUUAUUAGGGAAGAACAUAUGUGUAAGUAACUGUGCACAUCUUGACGGUACCUAAUCAGAAAGCCACGGCUAACUACGUG